GAAUUUUAUAUAGUUUUUUAAAAAAAAAUUUAUUUUAAAAAAUUUUUAUAUUUUAUUGGGGGGAUAAUAAAAUUUAUUUAACUUUUAUAUUGAUAAUAAGUUUUUUAUAAAAAUAUAAAUUAUUUUAUAAACAUUUAUGAAUGAAUUAAAUAGAAUGUGAAAAUAUAUAAUUUUCUUUAAUUAAAAUUAAUUACCUUAGGGACAGCGUAAUAAUUUUUGAAAGAUCUUAUUAAGAAAAAUGAUUGC
rnacentral:rRNA from 1 species